AGAGUUUGAUCCUGGCUCAGAACGAACGCUGGCGGCGUGGAUUAGGCAUGCAAGUCGAACGUGAUCCAGAAGUGUAGCAAUACAAGUCUGGUGAAAGUGGCGAAAGGGUGAGUAACGCGUGGGCAAUCUGCCUCGAAGUUGGGGAUAGCCUUCCGAAAGGAGGGAUAAUACCGAAUGUGGUCUCCUGGCGCAUGUCAGGAUGUCUAAAGGUGGGGAUCCGCAAGGACCUGCCGCUUUGAGAUGGGCCCGCGUACUAUCAGCUUGUUGGUGAGGUAACGGCUCACCAAGGCUAAGACGGUUAGCUGGUCUGAGAGGAUGGUCAGCCACACUGGGACUGAGACACUGCCCAGACUCCUACGGGAGGCUGCAGUCGAGAAUCAUUUGCAAUGGGCGCAAGCCUGACAGUGCGACGCCGCGUGCAGGAUGAAGGCCUUCGGGUUGUAAACUGCUGUCAUGGGGGAGCAAUAGCGCGGGUGUGAAUAGCACCGGCGUAUGAUAGUACCCCAGGAGGAAGCCACGGCUAACUCUGUGCCAGCAGCCGCGGUAAUACAGAGGUGGCGAGCGUUGUUCGGAUUUACUGGGCGUAAAGGGUGCGUAGGCGGUCCCGUAUGUCGGAUGUGAAAGCCCACGGCUUAACUGUGGAAUGUCAUCCGAAACUGCGGGGCUAGAGUACUGGAGAGGAGAGCGGAAUUCUCGGUGUAGCGGUGAAAUGCGUAGAGAUCGAGAGGAACGCCGGUGGCGAAGGCGGCUCUCUGGAAAGAUACUGACGCUGAGGCACGAAAGCUGGGGGAGCAAACAGGAUUAGAUACCCUGGUAGUCCCAGCCGUAAACGGUGUGCACUUGGUGUGGGAGGCUUUAUCCCCUUCCGCGCCGGAGCUAACGCGUUAAGUGCACCGCCUGGGGAGUACGGUCGCAAGACUAAAACUCAAAGGAAUUGACGG
rnacentral:rRNA from 1 species